rnacentral:rRNA from 1 species
CAGCAGCCACGGUAAUACAGAGGGUGCGAGCGUUAAUCGGAUUUACUGGGCGUAAAGCGUGCGUAGGCGGCUUUUUAAGUCGGAUGUGAAAUCCCUGAGCUUAACUUAGGAAUUGCAUUCGAUACUGGGAAGCUAGAGUAUGGGAGAGGAUGGUAGAAUUCCAGGUGUAGCGGUGAAAUGCGUAGAGAUCUGGAGGAAUACCGAUGGCGAAGGCAGCCAUCUGGCCUAAUACUGACGCUGAGGUACGAAAGCAUGGGGAGCAAACAGGAUUAGAUACCCGCGUAGUCCCUGUCUCUUAUAC